UAGGGAAUCUUCCACAAUGGGCGAAAGCCUGAUGGAGCAACGCCGCGUGUGUGAUGAAGGGUUUCGGCUCGUAAAACACUGUUGUAAGAGAAGAAUGACAUUGAGAGUAACUGUUCAAUGUGUGACGGUAUCUUACCGGAAAGGAACGGCUAAAUACGUGCCAG
rnacentral:rRNA from 1 species